ACUUAAAUAGCUUAAAAUAAGAGCACAAUAUUGAAGAUAUUGAGGUAAUAUUUAUUAUUUUUAAGUA
rnacentral:tRNA from 1 species